CCCUUUGUGGCGCAGAGGUAUCGCGUCGGGCUACUGAACGAAAGGUCGCUGGUUCGAAACCGGCCCAGGCGA
rnacentral:tRNA from 1 species